rnacentral:rRNA from 1 species
UGGGGAAUAUUGCACAAUGGGCGCAAGCCUGAUGCAGCCAUGCCGCGUGUGUGAAGAAGGCCUUCGGGUUGUAAAGCACUUUCAGCGGGGAGGAAGGCGUUAAGGUUAAUAACCUUGGCGAUUGACGUUACCCGCAGAAGAAGCACCGGCUAACUCCGUGCCAGCAGCCGCGGUAAUACGGAGGGUGCAAGCGUUAAUCGGAAUUACUGGGCGUAAAGCGCACGCAGGCGGUCUGUCAAGUCGGAUGUGAAAUCCCCGGGCUCAACCUGGGAACUGCAUUCGAAACUGGCAGGCUAGAGUCUUGUAGAGGGGGGUAGAAUUCCAGGUGUAGCGGUGAAAUGCGUAGAGAUCUGGAGGAAUACCGGUGGCGAAGGCGGCCCCCUGGACAAUGACUGACGCUCAGGUGCGAAAGCGUGGGGAGCAAACAGG